GACGAACGCUGGCGGCGUGCUUAACACAUGCAAGUCGAACGGAAAGGCCCUGCUUUUGUGGGGUGCUCGAGUGGCGAACGGGUGAGUAACACGUGAGUAACCUGCCCUUGACUUUGGGAUAACUUCAGGAAACUGGGGCUAAUACCGGAUAGAAGCUCCUGCUGCAUGGUGGGGGUUGGAAAGUUUCGGCGGUUGGGGAUGGACUCGCGGCUUAUCAGCUUGUUGGUGGGGUAGUGGCUUACCAAGGCUUUGACGGGUAGCCGGCCUGAGAGGGUGACCGGCCACAUUGGGACUGAGAUACGGCCCAGACUCCUACGGGAGGCAGCAGUGGGGAAUAUUGCACAAUGGGCGGAAGCCUGAUGCAGCAACGCCGCGUGCGGGAUGACGGCAUUCGGGUUGUAAACCGCUUUCGCCUGUGACGAAGCGUGAGUGACGGUAAUGGGUAAAGAAGCACCGGCUAACUACGUG
rnacentral:rRNA from 1 species